AGUGAACGCUGGCGGUAGGCCUAACACAUGCAAGUCGAACGGCAGCACAGUAAGAGCUUGCUCUUACGGGUGGCGAGUGGCGGACGGGUGAGGAAUACAUCGGAAUCUACUUUUUCGUGGGGGAUAACGUAGGGAAACUUACGCUAAUACCGCGUACGACCUACGGGUGAAAGCAGGGGAUCUUCGGGCCUUGCGCGAUUGAAUGAGCCGAUGUCGGAUUAGCUAGUUGGCGGGGUAAAGGCCCACCAAGGCGACGAUCCGUAGCUGGUCUGAGAGGAUGAUCAGCCACACUGGAACUGAGACACGGUCCAGACUCCUACGGGAGGCAGCAGUGGGGAAUAUUGGACAAUGGGCGCAAGCCUGAUCCAGCCAUACCGCGUGGGUGAAGAAGGCCUUCGGGUUGUAAAGCCCUUUUGUUGGGAAAGAAAAGCAGCAGGUUAAUACCCCGCUGUUCUGACGGUACCCAAAGAAUAAGCACCGGCUAACUUCGUG
rnacentral:rRNA from 1 species